rnacentral:rRNA from 1 species
CCUACGGGAGGCAGCAGUGAGGAAUAUUGGUCAAUGGACGAGAGUCUGAACCAGCCAAGUAGUGUGAAGGAUGACUGCCCUAUGGGUUGUAAACUUCUUUUAUAUGGGAAUAAAAUGUUCCACGUGUGGGAUUUUGUAUGUACCAUAUGAAUAAGGAUCGGCUAACUCCGUGCCAGCAGCCGCGGUAAUACGGAGGAGCCGAGCGUUAUCCGGAUUUAUUGGGUUUAAAGGGAGCGUAGGUGGAUUGUUAAGUCAGUUGUGAAAGUUUGCGGCUCAACCGUAAAAUUGCAGUUGAAACUGGCAGUCGUGAGUACAGUAGAGGUGGGCGGAAUUCGUGGUGUAGCGGUGAAAUGCUUAGAUAUCACGAAGAACUCCGAUUGCGAAGGCAGCUCACUGGACUGCAACUGACACUGAGGCUCGAAAGUGUGGGUAUCAAACAGGAUUAGAUACCCGAGUAGUC